AAUUUUGUUAUUCAUAUCCUGUAUCAUAAGAGACUGCUCAUCGCUUCCAACUUUUGCAAGCUUUUUAACAAAUGCUUCGAAAAAUGCAAUUUGUCGUUCCAAUGCUUCAACGUACUCCUUAGGGGCGCGUCUUCUAUGUCAGUUGCUGCAAAAAUUUAAAAAAAGUUUAUAAUUACCUUCUUAUCGGAUCCUCUGGAUAAAAGCAUUGCGAAUUACUUUUCACGCAUUGAAAGCAAGGAUGCAGACGAUCACAUUUGAUCUACAGAACAAUUCUAUUAGCUAAAGAUUCAGUACGUGAUUCUCAUACUUUUCUUUGACGACAUCUCUGGCAACUACGCAUUCAAUUAGAUAUUGGAUGCUAUAAUUACUUACGAUAUUCUAAAGAUUUCCUGAUUCUUUUUAUCUUGUCGGGGUUUCAUUUGCAUUUUGAAAAAUUCACUUAAUUAAAAAACGAUAAAAAUGAGACAAAAACAAAGGCUUUUCGAUCAAUCAAAUGUAA